rnacentral:RNase_P_RNA from 1 species
AGUGCAACAGAGAGCAAGCCGCCGAUGGCCCGCGCAAGCGGGAUCAGGUAAGGGUGAAAGGGUGCGGUAAGAGCGCACCGCGCGGCUGGUAACAGUCCGUGGCACGGUAAACUCCACCCGGAGCAAGGCCAAAUAUGGGUUCAUAAGGUACGGCCCGUACUGAACCCGGGUAGCCUGCUUGAGCCGCUGACCAAUUGCUGGCCUAGAUGAAUGACUGUCCACGACAGUACCCGGCUUAUCGGUCAGUUUCACCU